GAGCCGGUAGCUCAGUCGGUAGAGCAUCGGACUUUUAAUCCGCUGGUCGUGGGUUCGAUUCCCACCCGACCCACCA
rnacentral:tRNA from 1 species